UAAGGAAUAUUGCACAAUGGGCGAAAGCCUGAUGCAGCAACGCCGCGUGAGCGAUGAAGGCCUUCGGGUCGUAAAGCUCUUUUCUGGGGGAUGAGCAAGGACAGUACCUCAGGAAUAAGUCUCGGCUAACUACGUGCCAGCAGCCGCGGUAAGACGUAGGAGGCUAGCGUUAUCCGGAUUUACUGGGCGUAAAGCGCGCGUAGGCGGCUUUAUUAGUCGGGCGUGAAAUCUCCUGGCUCAACUGGGAGGGGUCGUCCGAUACUGUAGAGCUUGAGGGUAGGAGAGGGAGACGGAAUUCCCGGUGUAGUGGUAAAAUGCGUAGAUAUCGGGAGGAACACCAGUGGCGAAAGCGGUCUCCUGGCCUACCCCUGACGCUGAAGUGCGAAAGCGUGGGGAGCGAACGGG
rnacentral:rRNA from 1 species